rnacentral:rRNA from 1 species
UACGUAGGGGGCGAGCGUUGUCCGGAAUCAUUGGGCGUAAAGAGCGUGUAGGCGGUCAGGUAAGUGGGAUGUGAAAUGCCCCGGCUCACCCGGGGACCGGCAUCCAUACUGCUUGGCUUGAGUACGGGAGAGGAUGUGGGAAUUCCUGGUGUAGCGGUGAAAUGCGUAGAUAUCAGGAGGAACACCGGUGGCGAAGGCGCACAUCUGGCCCGAUACUGACGCUGAGGCGCGAAAGCUAGGGGAGCAAACGGG